rnacentral:rRNA from 1 species
AACGUAGGAGACAAACGUUAUCCGGAGUUACUGGGCGUAAAGGGCGUGUAGGCGGUUAGUUAAGUCAGGGGUGAAAUCCCGGGGCUCAACCUCGGAACUGCCUUUGAUACUGCAAAUCUCGAGUCCGGAAGAGGUGAGUGGAAUUCCUAGUGUAGAGGUGAAAUUCGUAGAUAUUAGGAAGAACACCAGUGGCGAAGGCGACUCACUGGACAUGUAUUGACGCUGAGGUGCGAAAGCGUGGGGAGCAAACAGG